rnacentral:rRNA from 1 species
UACAGAGGCCUCGAGCGUUAGGCGGAAUCACUGGGCUUAAAGCGUGUGUAGGCGGACUUCUAAGUACCUUGUGAAAUCCCACGGCUCACCCGUGGAACUGCUGGGUAUACUGGGCGUCUUGAGCCACCUAGGGGCCAGCGGAACAAAUGGUGGAGCGGUGAAAUGCGUAGAUAUCAUUUGGAACGCCAACGGUGAAAACAGCUGGCUGGGGGUGUGCUGACGCUGAGACACGAAAGCCAGGGGAGCGAACGGG